CUCUUACCCCAGCCAUGUAAUUUGCACAUUGUUUUCUAUUUUCUGUUGGGAAAUCACAAAGCAUCUAAAAGACAGGCAGUGGUUCUCAAGCUGCAGCCAAAGAAACACCAGAGGCUUUUGCACAAUCCCUUUUUCCUGAAGCCAACUCUACUGAGGAUGCGAUGUGGAUACGGAUGUCCGGGAAGCUGGUGUCGGUGGUGGGCCGUGUUCUCAGGCCCAGGGAUGCUGUGGCAGGGGCUGGAUGGGAAUGCAGUGGGGCCGUGUAUUAGCUGUGCAGUCUUUGGAAAAGUACUUCAUUGUUCUGAGCCUCAUUUUCUUAUUUGUCUGUUCUGGUUGCCUUUCAGCGACACCAUAGAGAUUAUUUUUCAGCUUGCUUCUCUGUGAGGAUCAACUCUAUUGAAGUAUCUAAAGUACCUGGCACAGGGUCCUGCACAUACACCUCAUUUAAAUGAUCAAGUACAUACUAAGCAGCUCAUGUUCAAUUCUGAAAACUGUCCUGGGCCUGGGCCAUGUGUUCGGAGUGUGGAGAAGAAGGAGCCAGUAGUCCCCUCCCCUGGUCAGGGGGCCUGGGUCUGCGCCAGAGAACAGAAGGGCCGGCAGCCAGGCCUCUGUCCCCAAGAGCUGGGGCGCACAUUAAAGCCUGUCAUGGCUCAGGAACUGGGCCCGCUGCGCCGGGCAUCUGGAUGUUCUUAGAUCUCUGUCUGGAUUCCUUCUGCUUGUCUUGUGGAAUUACUUAUCAGCAGCAGGCAGACCAGACCCUGGGCUUUCCUCUCCAUGGCCCAGCCCCAGGCCUUCCUAUCCGUAAACACUAGUGCAGGGGAUGGGGAAGUUGCUUCAGGACCUGUGGAUGAGGCUUCCCUGUGUGCUCCUCGGCCCCCUACGGCAGCCUGCUGCUGUCUCUGUACAAAAGCAGGACCUCCAGCCUGUGCCCACUGCCCUCAGCAACCUGCAUCUUCAGAUGAGAGAUGUGUAGGAAUCAGAAGGGAAUUUCAAAAUUAUUUGAAAAGUGUGACUGUUGAGGGCUGUCACUUGUGUCUACUCCCUGGACCAUUUUUUCCCCACAAUACUCCUGUUAUCACCCCCUUCCCUCCAGGGUUGAUUCCACUUUCUUUGGUUAGACCCAUGGUGACAUCCCUUUGUGCUUGUGAACCCGA
rnacentral:lncRNA from 1 species